AAAAGCAAGACGAAGCAAGAUUCUGGUGACUCUACCACUGCUUCUACAAAGUGUCCCUUUGGGUAUGAUUCACAAUCGGCGAGCAAGACAAAGAAGGAUGCCGGCCGCCUUGCCACUGCUUCUCAGAAGUUAUGCCCCUUUUAAUAUGAUUUCCAAACAUUUAAGCUAGGCCCUCCCGCUGUUUAGUUUGCCAAACGCUUCUUUUUGAAAGUAGCAAAUGCCUGUCAUGUUUUCUUGUAUAUUGCAAGUAAGCUAAAUAUGGAAGUUCCUGUUUCACAAUUCUUUCCCCUGAGGGAUCCUCGUGUCAAAAUUCUAAUUUUUUACCUCGUUCCAAUUUUUAAAAUCUUUACCGAAAUCUAAGCGUGAGUUCCUGUUUCUACAUUUCUUCCCCCUGAUGGAUCCUUAUGUCAAAAUUCUAUUUUUUUUUUCUCGUUCCGAUCUCAAUUUUUAAAGUCUUUACUGAAAUCAGAGCAUCUAUAUCACGCUUUAAGUACUGUUCACUGUCUGGAGCUAAUGUUGAGAAGAUAGAAGCUGAUUCAAAUCUUCAGGGCAUGGUUGAUCGCUUCAUUGAAGGUCAUCCUAUAAUCAAAAGGUCUCAUGCUAAUUAUACAGACAAAGAGGAAGUAGUAGAUAUUCACUGAUUUGAAAGCUCAGAUUUUGGCUUCAUAGGCCUACCUUAUUUUUCAACUUUCGGACAAUCUGCCCCUUUUGUCAAAGCUGUUCGUCUCGACGACACCACCUCAAAAAAAGCAAGACGAAGCAAGAUUCUGGUGCACUCUACCACUGCUUCUACAAAGUGUCCCUUUGGGUAUGAUUCACAAUCGGCGCGCAAGACAAAGAAGGAUGCCGGCCGCCUUGCCGCUGCUUCUCCGAAGUUAUGCCCCUUUUAAUAUGAUUUCCAAACACUUAAGCUAGGCCCCCUCGCUGUUUAGUUUGCCAAACACUUCUUUUUUAAAGUAGCAAAUGCCUGUUAUGUUUUA